CUUAAUUUGAUUUGUAUUUUCACUCAGUUUUCCUCAUUUUCUGAAGGGAAAAAAGCUUAUAUAACUGCACUAUCCCUUUUUGUGUGUUCUCUUGAUUGUCCUAAUAAACUUACCAAUUUUAAUCAAAAUUUGACAGAUAAUUAAGUUCCUACACUUUUUUUUCCUCUCAGACUGGUGACCAGGUGGAAGAGAUACUAUAACUACAUUAACUGAAUUAAACUUAAGUAUUUAGAAGCCUUAUCACUUGGAGCAGAGAGAAGGGCUGCAAAUAAAGGAAAAAAAUGCCCAGUAAUCUAGACAGUAUCCUUCCAGCACUUUUCCAACAUGUUUUGUACACCUGAGGGAGACUAACCAGUCUCUUCCGAAGACAGGCAGACUGCCUGGAUCCUGUACACCUCUCCCGGGCUCAACAGUGUUCAGCUGUGUCCCUUAGCUGGAAGAACCACUUCAUUCUGCUUCCAGCAGAGCAACGAAAAUAGAACAAGAUUCUCUUCAUCACUUUGUUGGCCCAUCCAGACUUGGAGGUGAUCUGCCAAAAAAGUGGAGUUUACAAGAAGUGCCGAAGCCAUCCUCUCUGAUCACCCGUCCCCUCCCCCCAACCCUUUGGCCGCCCAAGAAGGCAACGUGAUUUAAUCUGCAGGCGAUCUCUGUACCGGAUCCCCAGCACGGUCCGUGCUGCUGGCUGCAUGGCUGCCUCGGCAUCUCCCGCGGGCAAUUGGUAGCAUGUAGCCGCUGGCAUCUUCUCCUGGCAGAAGCUCAACCAUUUGAAGAGACGGGGAGGAAAAAAAUCCCGGUCAGGAUGUUUGCGCACGCUGUCGGCUGCCUCCUUGCCGGGGUACUCUGCUGAAGGAUCGGGACAUCUGCGCGGAGGCAGGCAGGCAGGCGGCCGCUGUAGCUCGCCCCGUUGGGGCCGCAGUUCCCCCGRCGCUGCGGGUGCUGAGUGGGGGCGACGCACUCGGAGCAGGCAGGGACAGGCUCGGUUAAAGUCUUCCAAGGCUCAUGGCCUCUGGCAUAGGCAAGGUUCCUCAGCCCGGGACUUGUGGCGGCUCUGGCGGCGCUCRCAGCAGCUCGGCAGGGAAAUGCAGCCAGGAGAUUCGUGUGAAAAUGUGCAAGAAGAUUGCCCAGCUCACCAAGACUCUAGCUUUGCAAGUGCUGACCAGGAUGAAGAAGUCAUAGUAGCCAGUACACUAAGAAAAGACUGGACCUGAGCGUGGAACUCUUCUAAUGAGAAUGGUCUUCACUGCAAACCUGAAAUUUUAGCAAAGUUUGUCAGUCACGAACUACGUAAAAAGUUUUAAAGACCUAGUAAGAUUAGUGAGUUUGUGUGAGACCUGCCUAGGCCUUCAGGAUUUUGACCUUAAAAUCAGAUAACAUUGCAUCUAUUUCCAGCUGAACUAUGCUUUGAGUUUUCAGAAGAAAACUUGUAAGAUCUAUGAACUUACAGAAAAUGAUUCAGAAAAGUUCAUCUUGCAAAUGGAAAUGUCUGUCUGUAGCCGUGACUCACAACAGAUACAAAUAAUACAGCUCAGAUAUUUUUCUGCAACCCUAGUGCGUUCAAAUCAAUAGGGACUUGAAGUUAGUGCAUUUUUCUGAUUGUAGCAGAAUGCAUGACUUUUUUACUUGUAAUUAAGUUUAGUCUUCUCUAUCAGAAAUUUCAACUUUGGCACACUAGGUUUCGUGCUUGCCAAUUCUUUGUAUUUCUGAUCUGUUUAGCUGUUUUAAAUGCAUGGCAAUUCUUAUUAGAAACUUUGGGCUCACUGCUGUCUCAUGCUAUGGGUUUUUAUCAUCCACUGGGUAUUAUAGGAUUUUCAAGUGCUUAUUGAUUCUCAGGACAGUCCUUUUCACUUGAGAUAGGAUGAGAAAUGCAAAUGAAUUCUCAGAGAAGAGUGCUGAGGAGAGUGAAUCAGCUUUCAUUUAAGAGGCAGUUCUGGC
ensembl:lncRNA